GACGAACGCUGGCGGCGUGCUUAACACAUGCAAGUCGAACGGAAAGGCCCUGCUUGCAGGGUACUCGAGUGGCGAACGGGUGAGUAACACGUGGGUGAUCUGCCCUGCACUUCGGGAUAAGCCUGGGAAACUGGGUCUAAUACCGGAUAGGAGCCAUUUUUAGUGUGAUGGUUGGAAAGUUUUUUCGGUGUAGGAUGAGCUCGCGGCCUAUCAGCUUGUUGGUGGGGUAAUGGCCUACCAAGGCGGCGACGGGUAGCCGGCCUGAGAGGGUGGACGGCCACAGUGGGACUGAGAUACGGCCCAGACGCCUACGGGGGGCAGCAGGGGGGAAUAUUGCACAAGUGGCGCAAGCCUGAUGCAGCGACGCCGCGUGGGGGAUGACGGCCUUCGGGUUGGAAACUCCUUUCGCUAGGGACGAAGCUUUUUGUGACCGUACCUAGAGAAGAAGCACCGGCUAACUACGUG
rnacentral:rRNA from 1 species